UCAGAAUUAAAGAAACACAAUCAAACUGGAUAUUAUCUUUGAUUGAAGCUAUCCGAUGUAUAGAAGAGACCAUUAGGGGCUAAAUUCAGUACAAAAUUGCCAAUAUCCUUUUUACUACCUAAUAUAAACUACUGCUCUGUACAAUUCCAAGAAGUGGAGAGAAAAGAGAAGAACAAAAAGACUAUGGACAAAUUCCAUAACCCGAUUUUGUUGAAGGGUUAGCUGAAGUUAGCAUUAUACAACACUAUUUUGUAUAAAGGAUCGAGAUCUGUUUGCAUUGGAUGAAUUUUAGCUCCUUGAAAGGAAUUUCAGCUUCCUUUUAAGGGAUUUCAAGUUGUUGGAUAUCAUUCUCAACUUGUAGAUCUACAGAGAUCAACCAGAUCGUAUAAGAGAAGUCCGAGCUCUGUUUAGAGGUGCUGCAUCAACGAAGAAAGAAGCAGAAAGUGGUUUGGGCUAGCCACAAAAAUUACUUUUG
rnacentral:lncRNA from 1 species